UGGGGGAUAUUGCACAAUGGGCGAAAGCCUUAUACAGCGACGCCGCGUGGGGGAUGAAGGCCUUCGGGUUGUAAACUUCUUUUGCUCUGAACAAGGCGCACCAUGGGGUGUGUUGAGUGUAGGGGUUGAUUAGCGCCGGCUAACUACGUGCCAGCAGCCGCGGUAAUACGUAGGGCGCGAGCGUUGUCCGGAAUUAUUGGGCGUAAAGGGCUUGUAGGUGGCUGGUUGCGUCUGUCGUGAAAGCUCAUGGCUUAACUGUGGGUUUGCGGUGGGUACGGGCUGGCUUGAGUGCAGUAGGGGAGGCUGGAAUUCCUGGUGUAGCGGUGGAAUGCGCAGAUAUCAGGAGGAAUACCGGUGGCGAAGGCGGGUCUCUGGGCUGUUACUGACACUGAGGAGCGAAAGCAUGGGGAGCGAACAGG
rnacentral:rRNA from 1 species